CCGAAAAGGUAUCACAUGCCA
rnacentral:siRNA from 1 species